UUUGGUUAAGUUAGAAAGGGCGCACGGUGGAUGCCUUGACACUAGGAGUCGAUGAAGGACGGGACUAACGCCGAUAUGCUUCGGGGAGCUGUAAGUAAGCUUUGAUCCGAAGAUUUCCGAAUGGGGAAACCCACCAUACGUAAUGGUAUGGUAUCCUUAUCUGAAUACAUAGGGUAAGGAAGACAGACCCAGGGAACUGAAACAUCUAAGUACUGGAGGAAGAGAAAGCAAAUGCGAUUUCCUGAGUAGCGGCGAGCGAAACGGAACAUAGCCCAAACAAGAGGCUUGCCUCUUGGGGUUGUAGGACAUUCUAUACGGAGUUACAAAGGAACGAGGUAGACGAAGCGACCUGGAAAGGUCCGUCGUAGAGGGUAACAACCCCGUAGUCGAAACUUCGUUCUCUCUUGAAUGUAUCCUGAGUACGGCGGAACACGUGAAAUUCCGUCGGAAUCUGGGAGGACCAUCUCCCCAAGGCUAAAUACCCCUAAGUGAUCGAUAGUGAACCAGUACGUGAGGGAAAGGUGAAAAGCACCCAAGGGGAGAAAAGAGAUCUGAAACCGUGUGCCUACAAAUAGUCAGAGCCCGUUAACGGGUGAUGGGCUGCCUUCUUGUAGAAUGAACGCGGCAGGUUACGAUCCCGUGCGAGGUUAAGGAAGAGGAGCGCAGAAAGCGAGUCUGAUAGGGCGUUUAGUACGUGGUCGUAGACCCGAAACCAGGUGAUCUACCCAUGUCCAGGGUGAAGUUCAGGUAACACUGAAUGGAGGCCCGAACCCACGCACGUUGAAAAGUGCGGGGAUGAGGUGUGGGUAGCGGAGAAAUUCCAAUCGAACCUGGAGAUAGCUGGUUCUCCCCGAAAUAGCUUUAGGGCUAGCCUUAAGUGUAAGAGUCUUGGAGGUAGAGCACUGAUUGGACUAGGGGUCCUCAUCGGAUUACCGAAUUCAGUCAAACUCCGAAUGCCAAUGACUUAUCCUUAGGAGUCAGACUGCGAGUGAUAAGAUCCGUAGUCAAAAGGGAAACAGCCCAGACCGCCAGCUAAGGUCCCAAAGUGUGUAUUAAGUGGAAAAGGAUGUGGAGUUGCUUAGACAACUAGGAUGUUGGCUUAGAAGCAGCCACCAUUUAAAGAGUGCGUAAUAGCUCACUAGUCGAGUGACUCUGCGCCGAAAAUGUACCGGGGCUAAAUACACCACCGAAGCUGCGGAUUGAUACCAAUGGUAUCAGUGGUAGGGGAGCGUUCUAAGGACAGUGAAGUCAGACCGGAAGGACUGGUGGAGUGCUUAGAAGUGAGAAUGCCGGUAUGAGUAGCGAAAGACGGGUGAGAAUCCCGUCCACCGAAUGCCUAAGGUUUCCUGAGGAAGGCUCGUCCGCUCAGGGUUAGUCAGGACCUAAGCCGAGGCCGACAGGCGUAGGCGAUGGACAACAGGUUGAUAUUCCUGUACCACCUCUUUAUCGUUUGAGCAAUGGAGGGACGCAGAAGGAUAGAAGAAGCGUGCGAUUGGUUGUGCACGUCCAAGCAGUUAGGCUGAUAAGUAGGCAAAUCCGCUUAUCGUAAAGGCUGAGCUGUGAUGGGGAAGCUCCUUAUGGAGCGAAGUCUUUGAUUCCCCGCUGCCAAGAAAAGCUUCUAGCGAGAUAAAAGGUGCCUGUACCGCAAACCGACACAGGUAGGCGAGGAGAGAAUCCUAAGGUGUGCGAGAGAACUCUGGUUAAGGAACUCGGCAAAAUGACCCCGUAACUUCGGGAGAAGGGGUGCUUUCUUAACGGAAAGCCGCAGUGAAUAGGCCCAAGCGACUGUUUAGCAAAAACACAGCUCUCUGCGAAGCCGUAAGGCGAAGUAUAGGGGGUGACACCUGCCCGGUGCUGGAAGGUUAAGGAGAGGGGUUAGCGUAAGCGAAGCUCUGAACUGAAGCCCCAGUAAACGGCGGCCGUAACUAUAACGGUCCUAAGGUAGCGAAAUUCCUUGUCGGGUAAGUUCCGACCCGCACGAAAGGUGUAACGAUUUGGGCACUGUCUCAACCAGAGACUCGGUGAAAUUAUAGUACCUGUGAAGAUGCAGGUUACCCGCGACAGGACGGAAAGACCCCGUGGAGCUUUACUGUAGCCUGAUAUUGAAUUUUGGUACAGUUUGUACAGGAUAGGCGGGAGCCAUUGAAACCGGAGCGCUAGCUUCGGUGGAGGCGCUGGUGGGAUACCGCCCUGACUGUAUUGAAAUUCUAACCUACGGGUCUUAUCGACCCGGGAAUGUCAGGUGGGCAGUUUGACUGGGGCGGUCGCCUCCUAAAGUGUAACGGAGGCGCCCAAAGGUUCCCUCAGAAUGGUUGGAAAUCAUUCGUAGAGUGCAAAGGCAUAAGGGAGCUUGACUGCGAGACCUACAAGUCGAGCAGGGACGAAAGUCGGGCUUAGUGAUCCGGUGGUUCCGCAUGGAAGGGCCAUCGCUCAACGGAUAAAAGCUACCCCGGGGAUAACAGGCUUAUCUCCCCCAAGAGUCCACAUCGACGGGGAGGUUUGGCACCUCGAUGUCGGCUCAUCGCAUCCUGGGGCUGUAGUCGGUCCCAAGGGUUGGGCUGUUCGCCCAUUAAAGCGGUACGCGAGCUGGGUUCAGAACGUCGUGAGACAGUUCGGUCCCUAUCCGUCGUGGGCGUAGGAAAUUUGAGAGGAGCUGUCCUUAGUACGAGAGGACCGGGAUGGACGCACCGCUGGUGUACCAGUUGUUCUGCCAAGGGCAUAGCUGGGUAGCUAUGUGCGGAAGGGAUAAGUGCUGAAAGCAUCUAAGCAUGAAGCCCCCCUCAAGAUGAGAUUUCCCAUAGCGUAAGCUAGUAAGAUCCCUGAAAGAUGAUCAGGUUGAUAGGUUCGAGGUGGAAGCAUGGUGACAUGUGGAGCUGACGAAUACUAAUAGAUCGAGGACUUAACCAUAUAA
rnacentral:rRNA from 1 species